rnacentral:lncRNA from 1 species
AGAGUGAAGGAAGUGUUGAACCGGAAAUGCCGAAAACCGCCGCAGUCUCUGCCAUUGAUGAAUGAAGGUUUGUUUUGACUUUUGCACACUGAAAUUAUUCUUUGGCGCCGUGGUUUUUGUCUUUUGGGCCCCUCUUUCGUCCUUUGUAGAAAGAUUCUCUUCCCAUGAUUUUUUUUUUUUAACUAAAUUUUCAUUUUUGUUCUUGAAAUUUCUAAAUGUAUUUUUUAAAGUUUUUCUAUUUCAAAUAUUAUUUUUAACAACGGCGCAAAAAAUUCAUAAAAUGCGUUCUGAAAUUUUUAUUCAAAGAUAAAAAGAAAAAUUUAGGGAGGAAAAGAGAGUCCUGAAGAAGAGAAUUCUUCUCCUUUGUAAAG